rfam:Endozoicomonas sp. S-B4-1T isolate SB41TT1 genome assembly, contig: SB41TT_contig_4
AAACUGAAGAGUUUGAUCAUGGCUCAGAUUGAACGCUGGCGGCAGGCCUAACACAUGCAAGUCGAGCGGUAACAGAUCUAGCUUGCUAGAUGCUGACGAGCGGCGGACGGGUGAGUAAUGCAUAGAAAUCUGCCUGGUAGUGGGGGAUAGCCCAGAGAAAUUUGGAUUAAUACCGCAUACGCCCUACGGGGGAAAGCAGGGGACCUUCGGGCCUUGCGCUAUCAGAUGAGUCUAUGUCGGAUUAGCUUGUUGGUGAGGUAAUGGCUCACCAAGGCGACGAUCCGUAGCUGGUCUGAGAGGAUGAUCAGCCACACUGGGACUGAGACACGGCCCAGACUCCUACGGGAGGCAGCAGUGG